CGUGACACGGUGAGGACGAACUGAGACAUGUUUCUCAUACCCCGUCUCCUUGAGGUGGAGUGUACUGGACUGAUUUCUUGAGUUAGCGGUGUUGAAACUCAGACAGACCCAGAACUGUCAAUAACGGGUACAUCCUGGACUCGGGGUAACUUGACACCCGUCCCUUGUUUGUGUCUGAAUAUCGGGGAAACUGUCUGAGAACUCGGAGCCAUGUGUGACAGGCUAGGACCCUGCUGACACCGAAUUCAUAGGAGGCGGCGGUCAUGCAUCUUCGCACCAGCCUUGUCCACUGGACUUCCUUGGAUAAAAAUGCGAGAAAAUGAAGGGAAUCAAAGGAUUAUAUCUUAGACUUCUCAUUACAAGCAUUACAAGUUUUCUCGUUACCCUCACAAUAUUCAAAAAUCGCCAUAGAUGCUCAGAAGCUGGACAGACGCGGAGCAGCGUCAAGUCGCUUGACCCUGACAAUGAACUCCGCUGUGACGUCAUCUCGGGACUCUCCAACACGUCUCUCCCAACCGCCUACGUCAUCACACCCACCUACGCGCGAUUGACCCAGGAAGUGGAUUUACUGCGCAUGUGCUAUACUCUGGGGCACACGACAGGAGUUCACUGGAUUCUUGUUGAGGAUAAUGAAACAAAACCUCCGUGGUGAGCAAGCUGCUGAAUAACUGCAAAGGGGUUAACAGCACACACCUGGCCGUCAAAAGUCCCCAGUCAACAAAGACACCCGGCAAGAAGCCCCCCACGCGUCACCGAGGGGUGGACCAGAGGAACCUGGGUGUGGCCUGGCUCAGAAAGUGCGUGCUACCCACGUCACGAGAAGGCGGCGCUUACUUUGCUGAUGAUGACAACACCUACGACAUCAGGGUCUUCGACGUGGUGCGACGGACCGUCAAUGUAUCCAUGUGGAAGGUGGGUCUGGUGGGUGGACUUUACAAGAAGGACCAGUAUGCAAGGGUGGAAAGGUGACGGGGUGGCGCUCUUCCGUCAUCCCAGCGCGAACCUUUCGCACCGACAUGUCAGGGUUCGCGGUCGCCCUCAACCUUCUCGCCACGUUUCCUGCAGCAAAGUUCAGCCAUGACGUCAGGCAAGGAUUUCUGGAAACAUCUUUCCUGCUCUCACUGAACGUCACGAUGAGGGACAUCACUCCCGCUCCCGAUGAGAACUGUUCCGAGGUUCUAGCAUGGCACACGCAGACGAACUUACCAAGUGUAAAAAUGGAGAGUCAGUUAGCAAAGAAAGUGAAGCCAGUGAUUCCCCCAAAGCCAAAGUUUCAGGUAGUUGGCGACGACUAUUAGACUGAAAUAAGCUACAUUCUCUUUGACUGCAUGUGAUUAAAAAACUGACUUGUAUGCAAGGGCAGAGUUUGUCGCAGACUUUGUGCUGUAAUGACCAAAAUGUUUUUAACCAUUAUUUCUACAAAGUUAUUUCAUAUUUGAAUUUUCUGGAAAAUGUAAGCUUGUAGGAACUCAUGUGAAGUAAAGAGCUUGAAUGUAUG